rnacentral:rRNA from 1 species
GAUGAACGCUAGCGGCAGGCCUAACACAUGCAAGUCGAGGGGUAGAUAUCUUCGGAUAUUGAGACCGGCGCACGGGUGCGUAACGCGUAUGCAAUCUACCUUGUACAGAGGGAUAGCCCAGAGAAAUUUGGAUUAAUACCUCAUAGUAUUAUUGAAUGGCAUCAUUUACUAAUCAAAGUUCCAACGGUACAAGAUGAGCAUACGUCCUAUUAGCUAGUUGGUGUGGUAACGGCAUACCAAGGCUACGAUAGGUAGGGGUCCUGAGAGGGAGAUCCCCCACACUGGUACUGAGACACGGACCAGACUCCUACGGGAGGCAGCAGUGAGGAAUAUUGGACAAUGGGCGCAAGCCUGAUCCAGCCAUGCCGCGUGCAGGAAGACGCAUCUAUGGUGUGUAAACUGCUUUUGUACGGGAAGAAACACUCCCUCGUGAGGGAGCUUGACGGUACCGUAAGAAUAAGGAUCGGCUAACUCCGUGCCAGCCGCCGCGGUAAUAC